GCGCGGUUAGCUCAGCUGGAUAGAGCGUUGGCCUCCGAAGCCAAAGGUCAGAGGUUCGAAUCCUCUACCGCGCA
rnacentral:tRNA from 1 species